rnacentral:lncRNA from 1 species
CCGAUUUCUUCCUCUACCAUUUUGCAUGGGGGAAUUUAUUGGUGUGAAACCUUUCAAUUUAGGACACAACACGGACCACUCUGAUGGGAUUGUGAGCGGAUGAGAGAAGGGAACAUCAGCCAGACUGCCUGGAGCAGGAGCGGGGUGCAGCAGCUGCCGGGGCUGUGGGUGCCCACCUCGGAGAGAGAGGAAGGCUGCUCCUGCUUGCCUGACGCAGACUGACUUAGAUUGGGCAGGGGCAUUUUGUGUUGGUUCUAAGGAAGUAUACGGAAAUGGAGACUGAAUAAGUAAGGCGUAGACUGUGUCAAAUACUGCCUGCCAGCUCUACACGAUGCCUUUGGAGCCUCCUGGCUCCUCCUCCUCCUCCUCCUCCUCCUCUUCCUCCUCCACCUCGUCCUCCUCCUUCCAGAGUGCUGGAAUUACGGGUAGGAACCACCAUGCCUGGCCGUCAUGGUCUUCUGUACCAUGAAGGCUGAAAGAUCACGAAUGGCAUUUCCAGGCUCUCGUGAAACUAGAACGCCCACUUCGCUUGGCUUCUGCCGAGAAGACAGACAAACCAGCAGAGGAGGAAGAGCUGAGCGCCGCGUGGAGGUGUCCGCGAGGCAGUUCCGGUGGCAGAAGCGGUUGGCUUCUUCUGCGGCAGCUGCAGUGCAGGUCCUGGUGUCAGGCCCUGAGCAGAGCAUCAGCAACUUCAUGCCUUGGCAGCUUUCCGGGUGGCAGCCUGGGCACCGCGGCCCCCGGCCAAACGGCAGCUUAUUAAUGUUGCUUCAGAAGGCAAGAUAUAAAGUCUAUGCUGCUUGGAGAUAA